UACGGAGGGUGCGAGCGUUGUCCGGAAUCAUUGGGCGUAAAGGGCGCGUAGGUGGCGGGACAAGCGUGCGGUGAAAGCUCGGGGCUCAACCCCGCGUCGGCCGUGCGAACUGUUUUGCUUGAGCACUGUAGAGGCAGGCGGAAUUCCGGGUGUAGCGGUGGAAUGCGUAGAGAUCCGGAAGAACACCGGUGGCGAAGGCGGGUCUCUGGACAGUUCCUGACGCUGAGGCACGAAGGCCAGGGGAGCAAACGGG
rnacentral:rRNA from 1 species